GACUUUGAUCCUGGCUCAGGAUGAACGCUGGCGGCGUGCCUAACACAUGCAAGUCGAACGAAGCACCUUACUUGAUUCUUCGGAUGAAGGUCUGGUGACUGAGUGGCGGACGGGUGAGUAACGCGUGGGUAACCUGCCCUGUACAGGGGGAUAACAGCUGGAAACGGCUGCUAAUACCGCAUAAGCGCACGAGGAGACAUCUCCUAGUGUGAAAAACUCCGGUGGUACAGGAUGGGCCCGCGUCUGAUUAGCUGGUUGGCAGGGUAACGGCCUACCAAGGCAACGAUCAGUAGCCGGUCUGAGAGGAUGAACGGCCACAUUGGAACUGAGACACGGUCCAAACUCCUACGGGAGGCAGCAGUGGGAAUAUUGC
rnacentral:rRNA from 1 species